rnacentral:rRNA from 1 species
UACGUAGGGUGCAAGCGUUGUUCGGAAUUAUUGGGCGUAAAGGGUGCGUAGGCGGCCUGACAAGUCUGAUGUGAAAUCCCUGGGCUCAACCCAGGGCCUGCAUCGGAAACUGUCGGGCUUGAGUAUGGGAGAGGUGAGUGGAAUUUCCGGUGUAGCGGUGAAAUGCGUAGAUAUCGGAAGGAACACCUGUGGCGAAAGCGGCUCACUGGACCAUUACUGACGCUGAGGCACGAAAGCUAGGGGAGCAAACAGG